AACAGCGUAACGCACAUACAUUUUAUUUAUUAAAGUCUUAAUCUUGAGCCUAACUUCGCUAUGCCGUAUGCCAACCAGCCCACAGUGAAAAUCGCGGAGCUGACGGACGAGAAUGUGAAGUUUGUAAUCGAGAACACGGAUCUCACAUUAUUGUGGUGUUUUUAUCAGCUGUUUGGACUUUCAUUCUGAUGGGACCCAUUCACCACAGAGGAACCAUCACAUCUACGGCCCUCAAGCCAUCAAAGCAGCACUUUUGCACACACAUAUUAAGAAAAUGACUAUAAAGGAUUUGUACACACCUCAUCACACUUCAGUUUAGCUAUGUUUGAUUUUAAGAACAUGUUCUGAGAAUAAACCUAACCUGUUUGAGGUCUUGUGGUUGCUUAUGACCAACAAAUCAACUUUUCAGACAACCUGAUGACAAGUCAUUUUUGAACAUAAGUAGUUUUGCAGAUACCAAAUGUA